GGUGUGACACAGGAAGGUAGUUCAUCCCAGGCGAUGGUUGUCCUGGGGUAAGGGUGUAGUGAGGGCUAUAGGUAAAUCCGUAGUCCGUAUUCAUGAGACCUGAUGCCGAGCCGAAUGGCGAAGUGAAUGAUCCUAUGCUGUCGAGAAAAGCAUCUAGCGAGCUUUAUGGCGGCCCGUACCCGAAACCGACUCAGGUGGUCAGGCAGAGAAUGCCAAGGUGAUCGAGAGAAUCAUAGUUAAGGAACUCGGCAAAAUGCCCCCGUAACUUCGGGAGAAGGGGGGCCAAAGUGGGUGUAGGAGUUUUCCUCCGAAGCCUGCGGUGGCCGCAGAGAGUAGGCCCAAGCGACUGUUUACCAAAAACACAGGUCCGUGCGAAGUUGUAAGACGAUGUAUACGGACUGACGCCUGCCCGGUGCUGGAAGGUCAAGGGGACUGGUUAGCUCGUAAGAGCGAAGCUGAGAACUUAAGCCCCAGUAAACGGCGGUGGUAACUAUAACCAUCCUAAGGUAGCGAAAUUCCUUGUCGGGUAAGUUCCGACCUGCACGAAUGGCGUAACGAUUUGGGCGCUGUCUCAACUGUGAACUCGGCGAAAUUGCACAACGAGUAAAGAUGCUCGUUACGUGAAGAAAGACGGAAAGACCCCGGGACCUUUACUAUAGUUUGAUAUUGGUACUCGGAACGGCUUGUGUAGGAUAGGUGGGAGACUAUGAAGCGGGCACGCCAGUGUUCGUGGAGUCAACGUUGAAAUACCACUCUGGUCGUUUUGAGUUUCUAACCUCGGUCCAUAUAUCUGGAUCAGGGACAGUGUCUGAUGGGUAGUUUAACUGGGGCGGUUGCCUCCCAAAAAGUAACGGAGGCGCUCAAAGGUUCCCUCAGCCUGGUUGGCAAUCAGGUGUCGAGUGUAAGUGCACAAGGGAGCUUGACUGCGAGACAGACAUGUCGAGCAGGUGCGAAAGCAGGAACUAGUGAUCCGGCGGUGGCUUGUGGAAGCGCCGUCGCUCAACGGAUAAAAGGUACCCCGGGGAUAACAGGCUGAUCUUGCCCAAGAGUCCAUAUCGACGGCAAGGUUUGGCACCUCGAUGUCGGCUCGUCGCAUCCUGGGGCUGGAGUAGGUCCCAAGGGUUGGGCUGUUCGCCCAUUAAAGCGGCACGCGAGCUGGGUUCAGAACGUCGUGAGACAGUUCGGUCCCUAUCUUCUUUGCGCGUAGGAAACUUGAGAAAUGCUGUCCCUAGUACGAGAGGACCGGGACGGACGAACCUCUGGUGUGUCGGUUGUUCCGCCAGGAGCACGGCCGAUUAGCUAUGUUCGGAAGUGAUAACCGCUGAAAGCAUCUAAGCGGGAAGCACGUUUCAAGAUGAGGUUUCCCACUGGUUUACCAGGUAAGGCCCCCAGCUAGACGACUGGGUUGAUAGGUCGGAUGUGGAAGCGAAGUAAUUCGUGAAGCUGACCGAUACUAAUAGGCCGAGGAUUUAACACA
rnacentral:rRNA from 1 species